GAUGAACGCUGGCGGCGUGCCUAAUACAUGCAAGUCGAGCGAACAGACGAGGAGCUUGCUCCUCUGACGUUAGCGGCGGACGGGUGAGUAACACGUGGAUAACCUACCUAUAAGACUGGGAUAACUUCGGGAAACCGGAGCUAAUACCGGAUAAUAUAUUGCACCGCAUGGUUCAAUAGUGAAAGACGGUUUUGCUGUCACUUAUAGAUGGAUCCGCGCCGCAUUAGCUAGUUGGUAAGGUAACGGCUUACCACGGCAACGAUGCGUAGCCGACCUGAGAGGGUGAUCGGCCACACGGGAACUUAGACACGGUCCAGACUCCUACGGGAGGGAGCAGUAUGGAACCUGCCGCAAUGGUCGAAAGCAUUACGGAGCAACGCCGCGUGAGUUAUGAAGGUCUUCGGAUCGUAAAACUCUGUUAUUAGGUAAGAACAAAUUUGUAAGUAACUGUGCACGGCGUGACGGUACCUAAUCAGAAAGCCACGGCUAACUACGUG
rnacentral:rRNA from 1 species